AGAGUUUGAUCAUGGCUCAGGAUGAACGCUAGCUACAGGCUUAACACAUGCAAGUCGAGGGGCAGCAUGGGGAUGGCUUGCCAUUCCCGAUGGCGACCGGCGCACGGGUGAGUAACGCGUAUCCAACCUGCCCGCAACCGCGGAAUAGCCCGCCGAAAGGCGGAUUAAUGCCGCAUGAGCUCGCGUGAGGACAUCUGCCCGCGAGCAAAGGUUCGUUCCGGUUGCGGAUGGGGAUGCGUCCGAUUAGGCAGCAGGCGGGGCAACGGCCCACCUGGCCUACGAUCGGUAGGGGUUCUGAGAGGAAGGUCCCCCACAUUGGAACUGAGACACGGUCCAAACUCCUACGGGAGGCAGCAGUGAGGAAUAUUGGUCAAUGGGCGCGAGCCUGAACCAGCCAAGUAGCGUGGGGGAUGACUGCCCUAUGGGUUGUAAACCCCUUUUGCGCGGGGAUAAACCGGCGGACGCGUCCGCCGCUGCAGGUACCGCGCGAAUAAGGACCGGCUAAUUCCGUGCCAGCAGCCGCGGUAAUACGGAAGGUCCGGGCGUUAUCCGGAUUUAUUGGGUUUAAAGGGAGCGCAGGCUGUAGAUUAAGCGUGACGUGAAAUGCCGCGGCUCAACCGUGGAAGUGCGUCGCGAACUGGUUUACUUGAGUGUAUUCGACGUCAGCGGAAUUCGUGGUGUAGCGGUGAAAUGCUUAGAUAUCACGAAGAACUCCGAUUGCGAAGGCAGCUGACGAGGCUAUAACUGACGCUAAAGCUCGAAGGUGCGGGUAUCGAACAGGAUUAGAUACCCUGGUAGUCCGCACGGUAAACGAUGGAUGCCCGCUGUUGGCGAUACAAUGUCAGCGGCCAAGCGAAAGCGUUAAGCAUCCCACCUGGGGAGUACGCCGGCAACGGUGAAACUCAAAGGAAUUGACGGGGGCCCGCACAAGCGGAGGAACAUGUGGUUUAAUUCGAUGAUACGCGAGGAACCUUACCCGGGCUUGAACUGCAGGGGAACGAUCCAGAGAUGGUGAGGUCAGCAAUGACCCCUGUGGAGGUGCUGCAUGGUUGUCGUCAGCUCGUGCCGUGAGGUGUCGGCUUAAGUGCCAUAACGAGCGCAACCCCUUUCGUUAGUUGCCAUCAGGUGAUGCUGGGCACUCUGGCGAUACUGCCACCGUAAGGUGUGAGGAAGGUGGGGAUGACGUCAAAUCAGCACUGCCCUUACGUCCGGGGCUACACACGUGUUACAAUGGCGCAUACAGAGAGUCGGUCCUGCGUAAGCAGGGUCUAAUCAAUAAAGUGCGUCGUAGUUCGGACUGGGGUCUGCAACCCGACCCCACGAAGCUGGAUUCGCUAGUAAUCGCGCAUCAGCCAUGGCGCGGUGAAUACGUUCCCGGGCCUUGUACACACCGCCCGUCAAGCCAUGAAAGCCGGGGGCACCUGAAGUCUGUGACCGCGAGGGGCGGCCUAAGGUGAAACUGGUAAUUGGGGCUAAGUCGUAACAAGGUAGCCGUA
rnacentral:rRNA from 1 species